rnacentral:rRNA from 1 species
CUUUUCGCCCCCCCCCAAGGGCGUGCCUCAAAAGUAGUGGCGGNUCCGGGGCGGCUUGCGAACGAANGUAAAAACAUAUCCGUUCUGGAAGACCGCCCCCGUGUCCUGCUCCAAAAAAUCGAAUUUUUNNNGAUUUCAACGAUUGACCUCGGAUCAGGUAGGGAUACCCGCUGAACUUAAGCAUAUCAAUAAGCGGAGGAAAAGAAACCAACAGGGAUUGCCUCAGUAACGGCGAGUGAAGCGGCAACAGCUCAAAUUUGAAAUCUGACCCUUUGGGGUCCGAGUUGUAAUUUGCAGAGGGUGUUUCGGGCGCGGUGCCGGUUUAAGUCCUUUGGAACAGGGUGUCAUAGAGGGUGAGAACCCCGUAUGCGACCGGCCGCCAAACCCAUGUGAAACCCCUUCGACGAGUCGAGUUGUUUGGGAAUGCAGCUCAAAAUGGGUGGUAAAUUUCAUCUAAAGCUAAAUACUGGCCAGAGACCGAUAGCGCACAAGUAGAGUGAUCGAAAGAUGAAAAGCACUUUGGAAAGAGAGUCAAACAGCACGUGAAAUUGUUGAAAGGGAAGCGCUUGCGACCAGACCUGCUCGCGGGUGAUCAGCGGUGCUUUUCGCGCCGUGCACUCGUCCGCGAUCAGGCCAGCAUCGGUUCCGGCGGCCGGACAAAGGCUCGGAGAAUGUGGCUCCCUUCGGGGAGUGUUAUAGCUCCUUGUGCAACACGGUCAGCCGGGACCGAGGACCGCGCU